AGGCAAGACAGGUAACACGUUUUGGUCAGAUGUAGAGAAAAUGGAGCUCUCAUAUAUUGCUGGUGGGAAUGUAGAUGGUGUAGCUGCUUCAGAAAAGUUUGGCAGGUCCUCAAAAGGUUAAACAUACAGUUACGACAUGAUCCAGCAUUCCACUCCAAGGUGUAUGUAGG